UUCUAGCACAUCAGUCAAAUUCCCGAUAGAUUGCUUAUUCGUGCUCUAUUGGAGCCGUUAUUGUGCUGAAAUGAAUAGGAGAGGUGCAGCAGAAUGUUUCAGAAGA
rnacentral:snoRNA from 1 species